AUUGAACGCUGGCGGCAGGCCUAACACAUGCAAGUCGAGCGAGCGGCGGACGGGUGAGUACUGUAUGGGGACUGCCCGUGAGAGGGGGAUAACUAAUGGAAACGGUAGCUAAUACCGCAUACAAGUGGAUUACGCAUAUGGGAUUAGCUAGUAGGUGAGGUAAUGGCUCACCUAGGCGACGGUCCCUAGCUGGUCUGAGAGGAUGAUCAGCCACACUGGGACUGAGACACGGCCCAGACUCCUACGGAGGCAGCAGUGGGGAAUAUUGCACAAUGGGCGCAAGCCUGAUGCAGCCAUGCCGCGUGUAUGAAGAAGGCCCUAGGGUUGUAAAGUACUUUCAGUCGGGAGGCGUUACCGACAGAAGAAGCACCGGCUAACUCCGUGCCAGCAGCCGCGGUAAUAC
rnacentral:rRNA from 1 species